rnacentral:rRNA from 1 species
GGACCAAGGAGUCUAGCAUGUGCGCGAGUCAUUGGGACUCUAACGAAACCUAAAGGCGUAAUGAAAGUGAAGGCCCGCCUAGCGCGGGCCGAGGGAGGAUGGGUGACCCCGAGGGGUCGCCUCGCACUCCCAGGGCGUCUCGUUCUCAUUGCGAGAAGAGGCGCACCAAGAGCGUACACGCUGGGACCCGAAAGAUGGUGAACUAUGCCUGGUCAGGACGAAGUCAGGGGAAACCCUGAUGGAGGUCCGUAGCGAUUCUGACGUGCAAAUCGAUCGUCGGAACUGGGUAUAGGGGCGAAAGACUAAUCGAACCAUCUAGUAGCUGGUUCCCUCCGAAGUUUCCCUCAGGAUAGCUGGCGCUCGCUUCUCGCGAGUCUCAUUCGGUAAAGCGAAUGAUUAGAGGCAUUGGGGUCGAAACGGCCUCAACCUAUUCUCAAACUUUAAAUGGGUGAGAUCUCCGGCUUGCUUGAACUGUGAAGCCGCGAGAUAUCGGAUCAGAGUGCCAAGUGGGCCACUUUUGGUAAGCAGAACUGGCGCUGUGGGAUGAACCAAACGCUGAGUUAAAGCGCCUAAAUCGACGCUUAUGGGAUACCAUGAAAGGCGUUGGUAACUUAAGACAGCAGGACGGUGGCCAUGGAAGUCGGA